rnacentral:rRNA from 1 species
GAGUUUGAUCCUGGCUCAGAUUGAACGCUGGCGGCAUGCCUUACACAUGCAAGUCGAACGGUAACAGGUCUUCGGAUGCUGACGAGUGGCGAACGGGUGAGUAAUACAUCGGAACGUGCCCGAUCGUGGGGGAUAACGAAGCGAAAGCUUUGCUAAUACCGCAUAAGAUCUACGGAUGAAAGCAGGGGACCGCAAGGCCUUGCGCGAACGGAGCGGCCGAUGGCAGAUUAGGUAGUUGGUGGGAUAAAAGCUUACCAAGCCGACGAUCUGUAGCUGGUCUGAGAGGACGACCAGCCACACUGGGACUGAGACACGGCCCAGACUCCUACGGGAGGCAGCAGUGGGGAAUUUUGGACAAUGGGCGAAAGCCUGAUCCAGCCAUGCCGCGUGCAGGAUGAAAGGCC